GAUUUACAGACGGUGCAAUGAUAUUAUUUGGCGUACAUAAUUUGCACACAUUUAUAUAAUUGUAUUUCGGUCUCUGCAAAUAAAAUAAACAAGAACAAUAUCCGUAUAAUAAUUCCGUUUGAUCUUUGAUUGUAUAAUACAUAUUAUGCGUAGCUACCAAAUACAAGCAUCGCGGUAACAAAAUAGUAUAAUGGUACGUAACAUUCGUUCAAACGAUUUUCAAAAUGUGUCU